GCCUGUAUAGCUCAGCGGGAGAGCGCUCGCCUCAUGGUAUUAGUAUUCCCAUCCAAGGAAGGAUGUGGAAGAUACCUAGACUAAUUUGAGGCCACCAGUUCAAUCCUGGUUAUGGUAUGGGUA